rnacentral:lncRNA from 12 species
AUGGGGUUUGGAGGACCCCCUGCGGGGGCAUCACGGUGUCCUGCGGCCGACGAUGGGGACCAGGGCCAUCACCGAGGCUGGGUGCGCUGGCGCAGGCUCAGGGAGGUCGUUUGGGAGCAACAGGCCACAGCUGAGGGGCACGGAGCUCCUCCUCCACCCGGCCUCCUACUCUCCCGACGGCCUCUGGGCAGGCAGCGGGGCCGGUUUGCGGGGCUGGUGCCUGGCAGCCUUGGUGGCACCAGGGCUGAGAAGACCGACCACCGAGCGGGGGCUGAUGCCCCGCGGGGGGGGCGCCCGCUCACCCCGAACAGCUGCUGGCCCCGGGUGCGCGCCGACUACGGAAGCUCCAGCGGCGCCGCCCCAGCCCGGGAAGCCUCGGCGGCCAGCCUGCGAAGUCGGCCUCCGUUCCCUGCCCCCGCGAGCCCCGGCUCCUGCAGACGAGCUCACACCUGCAGAUGGCCCCUCACACCAAAAGCAGAACCAGCAAAGCUUGCGAUCCCGGGGCCUUCCCUCUUCGGAUGGACGGGCCGCUGCAUGUCGGGGCCUGGCCCUCCCCGGGGCUCCUCGGGCUGUGCUCCCCGAGGCAGUUCUGGGUGCCUGAGCCUCUGGAGUGGCGCACGGGGCUACGGGGUAAGCGAGUCAGCACGAAAACCCACCCCUCACUCCGCUGCCCGGGACUGGUCGCUGCGCCCACCAGCCGGGCCCGGAAGAACCGAGGGCGUGGAGCAAGGCCUCAGGUGCGUGGACCACCGUGUCAGGCCCAGGACGCAGGGAAGGCUCUGGACACCCCUGUGAGGCAGCCUCCCCAACAUCCGGCCUCGGGGGUGGCAGCAACCCUGGCCAGCAGGCAAGUGAGCGGGAAGGAGGCAGCAGGAGGGUUCAGCUUCUGGGGCACCCCACGGGCCUGUAGCUGUCUUGACCUGUCUCGGUGAAUGCAUCGGCACCAGUCACUGUUCCAAGGUGCCUGCGUGGGACCUUCCAUAAAACAGACCUUGACGUCAGGGGUUGGGCUUGGAUUCCGACAGAGGGAAAACACGGUUCCCAGCCAGAGUGUGGGUGCUUGCCCACGGCGCCCACAGCACUUUACCAAGGCUUCACUUAGUCACUGAACUCCCCCACCAGCCCAGUUAGGAAAGAGGAAAUGAGACGGGAUGGUC